rnacentral:rRNA from 1 species
UACAGAGGUCCCAAGCGUUGUUCGGAUUCACUGGGCGUAAAGGGUGCGUAGGUGGCGAGGUAAGUCGGAUGUGAAAUCUCCAAGCUCAACUUGGAAAUGGCAUUGGAAACUACCUUGCUAGAGGUUUGGAGGGGGGACUGGAAUUCUCGGUGUAGCAGUGAAAUGCGUAGAUAUCGAGAGGAACACCAGUGGCGAAGGCGAGUCCCUGGACAACACCUGACACUGAGGCACGAAAGCUAGGGGAGCAAACAGG